GUUAUAUUGGGGGUCUGGCUGGGGCGAGGAUGGCUUAGGGCCCGUUACCUGCAGCGUGCUUGACUUGUCCAUAAAAUGUGAGGCUGAGAGUAUCUUGAGGUUCAAGCCCACCCAGGCAGAACAAUAUCUGCACAUUAGCCACGUCUUUCAGUCCAACCUAAACUCUGACCAUCCAGCAACAAUUAUUAAUGAAAACAAAGAAGAACAACGACCCUCGAGAGGUGUUCUUCUAAAAUAAGAAUAUAAGAAUGUGUAAUUUUAUAGUGAGGUGAGUGUUUUUAGGUUUUUCUAAAUAUAUUAAUAUUCGGUAUUGUUUAGGAACAAUACAGAGUUUUUAAAUACAUAUUUUUGUUCUUUUGCAGGUUUUUUGAGACCCUCAACCACCUGAUUCCACUUUGGUAUGGACCACCCACUUUACUCAAGUCGAUCAAGAUUCAUCCUGCAUUUUUUUUCAUUGCAUAUCCUGUUUUACUGAUGAAUACUGAAGUAAAAUUCAUUGCAAAUGCCAUUUCAAAAUGAAGAAUUGACCAAUUUUCAUGGUUCAGACUUCUGUUGGUUUGGUGAUCUAGCUGGUGAACCAGCAAACCCAUUUUGCUAAAAAGCAAACUUAUUCUAGUGAAACUGUUUGAACACGUUAGUAUGCUGGUUUAGAUAGUUAACAGCCUGGUGAGGAAAUACCACCACUAUACCAGCAUCCAAACACACAACAUAUAAAAGUUUUUCUUAAGAUUCAUUUUUUUUAACUCUAUAUUUUUAAGUUUUGGGUCAGUAAGAUAUUUUUUAAGCUGCAUUUAUUUGAAUACAGUGUGUAUAUAUAUGUGUGUGUUUGUGUGUGUGUGUGUGUGUGUGUGUGUGUGUGUGUGUGUGUGUGCACUGAUUUGGUGCUCCAGAAACAUUUCUUAUCAAUGUUGAAAACAUUUCUUUAAUAUUUUGUGCAAAACUUUUUUUCAGGAUUCUUUGAAUAGAAAGUCUUUUGUAAUAUUAUAACUGUGCUUACUGUCAUCCUUGAUGAAU
ensembl:lncRNA